rnacentral:rRNA from 1 species
UACGUAGGGUGCAAGCGUUGUUCGGAAUCAUUGGGCGUAAAGCGCGUGUAGGCGGUUUUGUUAAGUCGAGUGUGAAAUCUCAGAGCUCAACUCUGAAACUGCACUCGAUACUGCUUUGCUUGAGGACUGGAGAGGAGAUUGGAAUUCACGGUGUAGCAGUGAAAUGCGUAGAUAUCGUGAGGAAGACAGUGGCGAAGGCGGAUCUCUGGACAGUUCCUGACGCUGAGGCGCGAAGGCCAGGGGAGCAAACGGG